rnacentral:sRNA from 1 species
GCUUUUUUUUUGGUUUUGU